UCUUCGUAGGUGAACCUGCGGAGGGAUCAUUAGUGAUUUUCAAAAGGGGAGUCCCUCUUCAUCAGAGAAGGCCCCGUCACUACACCUUUACACUCGUGCAUUUGUCCCUUUUUUUUUAACACACACCCUGUGCAAUCGAAGCAGUCCUCUUGACAGAAAUUUGAUAAACGAAAGAAAAACUUUCAGCAAUGGAUCUCUUGGCUCUCGCAUCGAUGAAGAACGCAGC
rnacentral:misc_RNA from 1 species